UGGGGAAUUUUGCACAAUGGAGGAAACUCUGAUGCAGCGACGCCGCGUGAGUGAUGAAGAUCUUCGGAUUGUAAAACUCUGUCCUUAGUGAAGAUAAUGACAGUAACUAAGAAGCAAGCCCUGGCUAAAUACGUGCCAGCAGCCGCGGUAAUACGUAUGGGGCAAGCGUUGUCCGGAAUUAUUGGGCGUAAAGGGUACGUAGGCGGUUUAAUAAGUCCUAAUUAAAAGGCUAUGGCUCAACCAUAGUAUGGUUAGGAAACAGUUGAACUUGAGUAGAUGAGGGGAAAGUGGAAUUCCAGGUGUAGCGGUGAAAUGCGUAGAUAUAUGGAGGAACACCAAUGGCGAAGGCAACUUUCUGGAAUCAAACUGACGCUGAGGUACGAAGGCGUGGGGAGCAAACAGG
rnacentral:rRNA from 1 species